UCUGAAUCAGGCAGUUCAAGUUAGUGGG
rnacentral:piRNA from 1 species